UGGGGAAUAUUGCACAAUGGGGGAAACCCUGAUGCAGCGACGCCGCGUGAGCGAAGAAGGUUUUCGAAUCGUAAAGCUCUGUCCUAUGAGAAGAUAAUGACGGUAUCAUAGGAGGAAGCCCCGGCUAAAUACGUGCCAGCAGCCGCGGUAAUACGUAUGGGGCGAGCGUUGUCCGGAAUUAUUGGGCGUAAAGGGUACGUAGGCGGUCUAUUAAGUCAGGUGUGAAAGCGUGAGGCUUAACCUCAUUAAGCACUUGAAACUGAUAGACUUGAGUGAAGGAGAGGAGAGUGGAAUUCCUAGUGUAGCGGUGAAAUGCGUCGAUAUUAGGAGGAAUACCGGUGGCGAAGGCGACUUUCUGGACUUUUACUGACGCUCAGGUACGAAAGCGUGGGGAGCAAACAGG
rnacentral:rRNA from 1 species